GAGCUUAUGGGGGUGACCCCUCAGCCAUGGGGUGGCUGAUGGGCAGGGCCUGAGGUCCAAAGUCUCCCUUCCCACUUGCCCCCCUCAUACACAUGACCCCACUGGGGGUGAAGGCAAAUCCUAGCAUUUUCUGAGCUGGCCUUUGGGAUGGGCUGUCAUCACAUAUCUGGGAUGCAGGCCCUUCCCAUGAGCGCUAGUCACUGGGGCUCGGGUUCCUGCAGCUAGGUGUGCUGCUCCUGGAGUGAAGUGGCCACUGUAGGCCUCUGUGGGUGUCUGCCCCACUCAUGAUGUUCCCUUGUCUGGGAACUGCCUCUCCCAUCCACAGAGGUGAGCCUCAAGGAGUCACCUGUGUUCUGUGGGACCUUGGAUUAGUCAGGGUCCCCCAGAGAAACGGAGCCGAGAGAAGAGUAGGAUGUGCAUUAAUUGGCUCAUGUGAUUACAGAGGCUGACAAGUUCUAAGGCCUGCAGCCAGCGAGCUGGAGACCCAGGAGAACUGACCAGUUCUUGACAUCAUUUCUCACACAGGCCUUUGUUGGAGUCCAAAGGCCUGAGCCCAGAAGGCCCAAUGGUGUAGCUCCUGUUCCAAGGCCAGCAGGCUCCCAACCCAGGAAGAACCAGUGUCCCUGUUCAAAGGUACUCAGGCAGGGGGAGAGUUCCCUCUUGCCCUCAGAAGGUCAGCCUUUUUGUUCUACCCAAGAC
rnacentral:lncRNA from 1 species